AUACCCUCCCCAAUGUCCAUAACCCCACCCCCUUCUCCCAAACCCCCUCCCCCCAGCAACCCUCAGUUUGUUUUGUGAGAUUAAGAGUCACUUAUGGUUUGUCUCCCUCCCAAUCCCAUCUUCUUUCAUUUAUUCUUCUCGUACCCACUUAAGGAUUCUUAUCAAAUUCUUAACUUCUUAUCAAAAUCUUAUCUAUUUUAAAGACAUUUUCCAAAUGUCAUCUCCUUUUAAAGUCCAUUCUGAUUAGGAUCCAAUCUCCCUUCAGUUGAGCCUGUAAAGCACUCAGUAUUUUCUGUAUACCUUGCAUUUCUCUGACUUGCAUUAAAGUCACUUAUGUUUGGCUUUCUUCAUUCUUCUAGGCCCUGAACUUUAUGUGCAGAAGCUAUCUCCUACUUCUUCUAUGUCUUUCUGUAUCUUCUCAGUUGCCUAGCAGAAUACCUGGAUCCUGGCAGGUGCUCAAAAGUGAAAAGUGAAUAUUUUUUUUUGCAUUGAAUUAAGUAUAAUUCUAAUGAAAUCUAUCUCCAUUUUGAACUUAAGGGAUGGUUCACUUAACAGGCUAAUAAAUAUAAAUGAUGACAGCAUAACCUUUAGAAGGAAAGUAACUUGCCCCAAAUUCUACAGUUCCUAGCUGGGAGAGCUGAGGCUCUGAGGACAACUUAUAUGGACUUUUACAAUGUCUUAAGGUAAUGCUUAAAGAACUACUAAGGAUUCUGUGAUGGGAAAGUUACAGUUACCAUUUCCAAGCAUCCCACAGUUCUUGGGAAGGAAUAUGGCAUGAAUGGAAAAAACUGUAUAAGAAAUGCAUGAAGUGCCUCUUUGGAAGGAAGAAGAGUAAGAUACAUUACAUUCAAGACCAUGAUGAAUGCAAGUUUUUCCUAGGAUAAUUUAAAUUCAAUAAGUACUUUUUAAUUUCUUUUAUUUCUUUUUUAUUUCUCAGAUAUAACUGAUAGUAUGCUCCUUAACUUCUUAGUUAAUCCACCUGGAGCACAGGAGCCUCCUGAGUAAUAUGUAUUCCAGCCUUUUUGUUGUUAUUUUCUUGUUUUCUUCCUGUGAUGAUGUCUGGUCUCAAAUUUUCACCCAAUCAUCCUGAGGUCAUACUGUUGUGAUAUUCUGAUCUUCUGGCCAGGACUUCCAUGUUCUCCCUGGAAAGGAAGAGAUAUUGCUAUGUCUACGUAAACAUUGAAAGCCUGAAUAGUCCUAAAUUUAUCUUGGAUGGCACAGGAUUCAUUCGCUGUUAUUAAAAAUAUCCCAUAAUGUACACAGACCUGUACCCCUGGGGAUAAAAAUACCCUAUAUAUUUAUAAAAAAAAUUUAAAAAUAAAAAUAUAUCCCAUAAUGUGUCGUGUAGAGCAAAGAAUGCUCAUAAGAAGAAGUUCCUUAAAGAAGAUGUUUGGGUGCAUAUGCCUGGGUGGCUCAGUUGGUUAAGCAUCUGCCUUCAGCUUGGGUCAUGAUCUCGGGGUCCUGGGACAGACCCAGUGCAGGGCUACUUGCUCAGCAGGAAGCCUGCUUCUCCCUCAGCCUGACUCUCUCUCUCUCUGACAAAUAACUAAAUUUUUUUUUUUUUUUAGAAAGGUGGUUGAGUGAAUAAAAUUCUCAGACCGCCCUCAUACAUUAUCUUUCGUAGAGAUUCAUAAAUCCAAAUUCACACUCUGCAAAGACCGCACUGUGAAAUGCUAAUCCAUUCACGGCAGACCUGGUGAGCAAAGCGAAGCAAAUGCUUUUUAAG